UGGUGACAAAGUAAUGGGACCACUAGGAAUUGUUUGGCCAAGAAAUUCCUUGGUGUUUGGCUAUGUACCGUGGCUUUGUGUAGGUAUCAAAAUUCUUUAGGCUUGGUUCAUGCACAUGGCUAAUAUAGUUUAGUUCUAAAGUGUAUCAUCAGAUGGAAGAGGAUAAGGGGGGCAGCGAAAUGGGAAAGCAAAAAGGAAAUGAUUAUUGUGUGGGCUUCACUUAAAGACUAAGUGAUUAGAUAAUUAUAUAUGGGCUGAUAUUUGUUAAGUGUCGGCACACUUGUCUAUAUAUUGAAUGUUUAGUGCACCUAGUAUGUAUUCGAGAUACAAAGAAUUGAGUAAAGAUGAAGAAAAAAAUUAGAGAAAUGCACAGACAGAGAGAUGGGCGAGAUUUUUGGUGCUCAGAUGAUCUAUGAUAGUUCUUUUGCAGUUUUCAGGUACCGAGGAUGAACUUGGAUUACUAGUAGCGGGCUUAGGUGGAAGAGUUGGCAUUGAAGAUUUAAAUUAUUUAUUCAGAGAUUUUUUUUUUUUUAAUUUUUAUUUGAGGAAUUGAUUCUGUAUCAAUAAAAAAGUUUUUUCUUUUGAGAUCUUGGGCGUAAUAAUGAUGUAUUUGGAUUUGAAGAAAUUGAGAAAUUUUAUGUAGAAAAUAUUCGGGGCAUGACAGAAUGGUAUCAGAGCCUGUGCCCAGCCGGAAGUGUGAGUUUGGUGAUGAUGUUGACAGGUGUGAGCUGGCUAGUGUUUAGUUCUGAUUAGCUACCUCUCGUAGCCUAGUGUGUGUGGGCGGGGAUCGUUCACUAACAGCUACUGGGGUAGUCAAUAAUUGUGCUUUGGUAUGUUGUAUUGUUUGAUUUAUUAUUGACUUCGUUUUUGUGGGCGGGUGACGGCAUUGAUUAGCUAUCACAAUGGUUGCGGAGUGUGUGGGCGGGUAAUUAGCACAGUCAGCUACCACAACGUUUUUCAUGUCACGGUAUCUCGCAUCGCCUCAGGUAAGGAUUUUUGGAUUUUGUUUUACCACUUUUGAUGUUUUCGGGUAUGCGAAAAUUUUUGGAUCUGAAUUUCGGGAUGAAAUUCUUUUUAAGUGGUGGAGAAUGUGACAACUUGGAUUUUUUUUUAAGAUUUUAAAUUAUAUUUAUCUCUUGAUUUUUUUAUUGACAAAAUUGAUUAUUUUAUUUUAAUUAGAAAUUUAUCCAAUUAGAGUUUCGGUGAUUUAUUAUCCAAAUUGGAGACUUACAGUUUAUUUUUUUUGGUUUCAUACUAUAUUAAUGGAUGGAGAUGAGAAGAUUUCCGCAGCCGAAUUAAAGGAAAAUAUUAAAUAGAGAUAUUUGAUUUCGGGUCCCACUUAAUGAAUGUCGAAGGAGAUUGAAUUUAGUUGGUUAUAUAUAUAUAUAUAUAUAUCUUUUUGGUGGAAAAUGCAUGCUGCCAACUGAAGGUGACGAGGAGAAUGGGUGGUUGAAUGAAAAAGUGAAAAAAAUAAAGAAAAGAUGGAAAUGUGAUGUAUUUUUGUGGGGCCCAUUAGAGGAGAAAUAAUUGAUUUGGUUUUUGUUACCUUGGUAUGUAUAAGAUUUGUAUAUGUAUGUUGCCUACCAAAAGAGAUGCACCAGCCGUGGGACAAGAAGAAAAUGGGUGGAUGAUGAAAAUGAAAAAUAAAGAAAUAAUUUUAACAAAAAAAAAAAAGAAAAAUAAAGAAAUAAUGGUGAUAAAGUGAUGGGACCACUAGGAAUUGUUUGGCCAAGAAAUUCCUUGGUGUUUGGCUAUGUACCGUGGCUUUAUGUAGGUGUCAAAAUUCUUUAGGCUUGGUUCAUGGACAUGGCUAAUAUAGUUUAUUUUUAAAGUGUAUCAUCAGAUGGAAGAGGAUAGGGGGGGCAGCGAAAUGGGAAAGCAAAAAGGAAUGAUUAUUGUGUGGGCUUCACUUGAAGACUAAGUGAUUAGAUAAUUAUAUAUGGGCUGAUAUUUGCUGUGUGUCGGCACACUUGUCUAUAUAUUGAAUGUUUGGUGCACCUAGUAUGUAUUAGAGAUACAAAGAAUUGAGUAAAGAUGGAGAGAAAAAUUUGAGAAAUGCACAGACAGAGAGAUGGCCGAGAUUUUUGGUGCUCAGAUGAUCUAUGAUAAUUCUUUUGCAGUGUAGGGAUCAUCAUACCUUGAAUGGCAUGGAUGAUUUUAUUUUAAAUAUUUUGUUGAUUGUUAUUUUGCUAAAAUAGCAUAUUUGUAUUUUGUUUAAGAGCAUAUAUAUAUUUUUGUGAAGCAAAUUUAUCAUGAAACUCUUUGAAAUCCUUGUUAUGGUUUUUCCUACUGUUUCACCCCCUUACAGUUUCAGGUACCGAGGAUGAACUUGGAUUACUAGUAGCGGGCUUAGGUGGAAGAGUUGGCGUUGAGGAUUGAAAUUAUUUAUUCAGAGAUUUUUUUUUUAUUUUUUAUUUGAGGAAUUGUUUCUGUAUCAACAAAAGAGUUUUUUCUUUUGAGAUCUUGGGCGUAAUAAUGAUGUAUUUGGAUUUGAAGAAAUUUAGAAAUUUUAUGUAGAAAAAGUUCGGGACAUAAAAGAAUGGUAUCAGAGCCUGUGCCCAGCCGGAAGUGUGAGUUUGGUGAUGACGUUGACGGGUGUGAGUGGGCUAGUGUUUAGUUUUGAUUAGCUACCGCUCGUAGCCUAGUGUGUGUGGGCGGGUGUCGUUCGCUAACAACUACUGGGGUGGUCAAUAAUUGUGAUUUGGCAUGUUGUAUUGUCUGAUUUAUUAUUAACUUCGUUUUUGUGGGCGGGUGACGGCAUUGAUUAGCUAUCACAAUGGUUGCGGAGUGUGUGGGCGGGUAAUUAGCACUGUUAGCUACCAUAAUGUUUUUCAUGUCACGGUAUCUCGCAUCGCCUAGGGUAAGGAUUUUUGGAUUUUGUUUUACCACUUUUGAUGUUUUCGGGUAUGCGUAAAUUUUUGGAUCUGAAUUUCGGGACGAAAUUCUUUUUAAGUGGUGGAGAAUGCGACAACCUAGAUGUUUUUUAAGAUUUUAAAUUAUAUUUAUCUCUUGAUUUUUUUAUUGACAAAAUUGAUUAUUUUAUUUUAAUUAAAAAUUUAUCCAAUUAGAGUUUCGGUGAUUUAUUAUCUAAAUUGGAGACAUACAGUUUUUUUUUUUGGGUUUCAUACUAUAUUAAUGGAUGGAGAUGAGAAAAUUUCAGGUGCCGAAUUAAAAGAAAAUAUUAAAUAGAGAUAUUUGACUUCGGGUCCCACUUAAUGAAUGUCUAAGGAGAUUGAAUUUAGUUGGUUAUAUAUAUAUAUAUAUAUCUUUUUGGUGAAAAAUGCAUGCUGCCAGCUGAAGGUGAUGAGGAGAAUGGGUGGUUGAAUGAAAAAAUGAAAAAAAUAAAGAAAAGAUGGAAAUGUGAUGUAUUUUCGUGGGGCCCAUUAGAGGAGAAAUAGUUGAUUUGGUUUUUGUUACCUUGGAAUGUAUAAGAUAUAUAUAUGUAUGUUGUCUACCAAAAGAGAUGAACCAGCCAUGGGACAUGAAGAAAAUGGGUGGAUGAUGAAAAUGAAAAAUAAAGAAAUAAUUUUAACAAAAAAAAAAGAAAAAAAAAAAGAAAUAAUGGUGAUAAAGUGAUGGGACCACUAGGAAUUGUUUGGCCAAGAAAUUCAUUGGUGUUUGGCUAUGUACCGUGGCUUUGUGUAGGUGUCAAAAUUCUUUAAGCUUGGUUCAUGCAUAUGGCUAAUAUAGUUUAUUUCUAAAGUUUAUCAUCAGAUGGAAGAGGAUAAGGGGGGCAGCGAAAUGGGAAAGCAAAAAGGAAUGAUUAUUGUGUGGGCUUCACUUGAAGACUAAGUGAUUAGAUAAUUAUAUAUGGGCUGAUAUUUGUUGAGUGUCGGCACACUUGUCUAUAUAUUGAAUGUUUGGUGCACCUAGUAUGUAUUAGAGAUACAAAUAAUUGAGUAAAGAUGGCGAGAAAAAUUAGAGAAAUGCACAGACAGAGCGAUGGCCGAGAUUUUUGGUGCUCAGAUGAUCUAUGAUAAUUCUUUUGCAGUUUUCAGUUACCGAGGAUGAACUUGGAUUACUAGUAGCGGGCUUAGGUGGAAGAGUUGGCAUUGAGGAUUUAAAUUAUUUAUUCAGAGAAUUUUAUUUUUAUUUUUAUUUUUUUAUUUGAGGAAUUGAUUCUGUAUCAAUAAAAGAGUUUUUUCUUUUGA